AAAUUUUUUUUAUUUAACAUUUUCUAAAAAUAUAUACAAAAAGAAGCAUAUCAAACAUAUUAGGAAGGUUGCACACAGGAAGAUGGGGAAUAGAAAUGGGGGGUGGGAAUGAAAGAAAAUAAAUGAGAGAGGGACUUUGUAUUGAUCAAUGAUAAUAACUCAAUCCUCUAUGUCUUUGACAAGAAGGAGAAGGAAGAGGAAGAAAAAGAAAGUGGGAUAAAGGAUCAGAAAGGGAGGAAAAUAGAAAAAUUUAGAGUAUGACUCCAGGGUAGACCUGUUUUGUUGUUGCUGGGUUGGUUGAUUGGUUGUUUGGUUUGUUGUAAUUUUCAUAUGUUUUGCCAUGUUGACCAGGCUGGUCUCGAACCCCUAGCCCCAAGUGAUCAACCCACCUUGGCCUCCCAGAGUGUUGGGAUUACAGGCGUGAGCCACCACGUCCAGCCCCCACACUGCGUCUGGCCUCUGUGGUAGACCUCCCAGACAGGGUGGCCAGGCAGAGGCGCUCCUCACUUCCCAUAUGGGGCGGCCGGGCAGAGGCGCUCCUCACUUCUCAGACGGGGUGGCCAGGCAGAGGAGCUCCUCACUUCCCAGAUGGGGCGGCCGGGCAGAGGCGCUCCUCACAUCCCAGACAAUGGGCGUCCAGGCAGAGGCACUCCUCACGUCCCAGAUCCACAAAAGAAGUGAAAAUAGCCUUAACUGAUGACAUUCCACCAUUGUGUUUUGUUUCUGCUUCACACUAACUGAUGUAUUUUGUAAUCUCCCCCACCCUUAAGAAAGUUCUUUUUAAUCUCCCUCACCUUUGAGAAGGUUCUUUGUAAUUUGUAAUUCUCCCCACCCUUGAGAAUGUACUUUGUGAGAUCCAACUCCUGCCCGCAAAACAUUGCUCCUAACUCCACUGCCUAUUCCAAAACCUAUAAGAACUAAUGAUAAUCCAAUCACCUUUUGCUCUCUUUUUGGACUCAGCCCACCUGCACUCAGGUGAAAUAAACAGCCUUGUUGCUCACAAAAAAAAAAAAAAAUAGACAAAAGCAUUCUGACAAACUUCUUCAUGAUGCAUGCAUUCAUCUCACAGAAUUGAACCUUUCUUUUGAUUGAGCAGCUUUGAAACACACUUUUUGUAGAAUCUGCAAGUGUACAUUUCGAGUGCUUUGAGGCCUAUAGUAGAAAAGGACUUAUCUUCACAUAAAAACUGGACAGAAGCAUUCUGAAAAACUACUUUGUGAUGUCUGCAUUCAUCUCAAAGAGUUGAACCUUACUUUUGAUUGGUCAGUUUUGAAACACCAUUUUUGUAGAAUCUGCAAGUGUGCAUUUGGAGCGCUUUGAGGCAUAUGGUGGAAAAGGAAAUAUCUUCCCAACAAAACUAGACAGAAGCAUUAUGAGAAACUUCUUUGUGAUGUUUGCAUUCAUCUCACACAGAGUUGAACUGUUCUUUUAAUUGAGCAGCUUUGAAACCCUCUUUUUGUAGAAUCAGCAAGAGGACAUGUGGAGCCCUUUGAGGCCUAUGGUGGAAAAGGAAAUAUGUUCACAUAAAAACUAGACAGAAGCAUUCUUACAAACUUCUUUGAGAUGUGGUCAUUCAGCUCACAGUGUUGAACCUUUCUUUACAUUGAGCAGCUUUGAAACACUCUUUUUGUUGAAUCUGCAAGUGGACAUUUGGAGCACUUUCUGGCCUAUUGUGGAAAAGGACAUAUCAACAUAUAAAAACUAGACAGAAGCAUUCUGACAAACUUCUUCGUGAUGUGUGUAUUCAUCUCACAGAGUUGAAUCUUUCUUUUCAUUUAGCAGUUUUUAAACACUCUGUUUGUAGAAUCUACAAGUGGACAUUUGGAGCACUUUGAGGCCUAUGGUGGAAAAGGAAAUAUUUUCACAAAAAAACUAGACAGAAGCAUUCUGAUAAAUUUCAUUGUGAUGUGUGCAUUCAUGUCACAGAGAUGAACGUUUCUUUUGAUUGAGCAGCUUUGAAACAUUCUUUUUGUAGAAUCUACAACUGGACCUGUGGAGUGCUUUGGGGCCUAUCAUGGAAAAGGAAAUAUCUUCACAUAAAACCUAGACAGAAGCAUUCUGACAAACUUCUUUGUGAUGUGUGCAUUCAUCUCACAGAGUUGAACCUUACUUUUCAUUGAGCAGCUUUGAAACACUCUUUCUGUAGAAUCUGGAAGUGGACAUUUGCAGCACUUUGAGGCCUAUGGUGGAAAAGAAAAUAUCUUCACAUCAAAACAAGACAGAAGCUUUUUGAAAAACUUCUUUGUGACAUGUGCAUUCAUCUCAGAGAGUUGAACCUUUCCUUUGUUUGAGCAGCUUUGAAACAAUCUUUUUGUAGAAUCUGCAAGUGAACCAUUCGAGCGUCUUGGGGUCUAUGGUGGAAAAUGAAACAUCUUCACAUAAAAACUAGACAGAAAAAUUCUGAGAAUCUUCUUUGUGAUGUGUGCAUUCACCUCACAGAAUUGAACGUUACUUUUCAUUGAGCAGUCUUGCAUCUCUCUUUUUGUAGAAUCUGCAAGUGGACAUUUGGAGCGCCUUGAGGUCUCUGGUGGAAAAGGAAAGAUCUUCACAUGAAAACUAGACAGAAGCAUUCUCACAAACUUCCUUGUGAUGUGUGCAUUCAUCUCCCAGACUUGAAACUUUCUUUUGAUUGAGCAGCUUUGAAACACGCUUUUUGUAGAAUCUGCAAGUGGACAUUUGGAGCACUUUGAGGCCUAUGGUGGAAAAGGGAAUAUUUUCACAUAAAAAUUAGACAGAUGCAUCCUGACAAGCUUCUUUGUGAUGUGUGCAUUCAUCUCACAGAGUUGUAACUUUCUUUUGAUUGAGCAGCUUUGAAACACUCUUUUUGUAGAAUCUGCAAGUGGACAUUGGAGCACUUUGAGGCCUAUUAUGGAAAAUUAAAUAUCUUCACAUAAAAUCUAGACAGAAGCAUUAUGACAAACUUAUUUGUGAUGUGUGUGUUCAUCUCAUAGAGUUGAACCUUUCUUUUGAUUGAGCAGUUUGGAAACACUCUUUUUGUAGAAUCUGCAAGUGGACAUUUUGAGCACUUUGAGGCCAAUGUGGAAAAGGUAAUAUCUUCAUAUAAAAACUAGAUAGAAGCAUUCUGAGAAACUUCUUUGUGAUGUGUGCAUUCACCUCCCAGAGUUGAAUCUUUCCUUUGAAGGACCAGUUUUGAAAUACUCUUUUUGAAGAAUCUGCAAGUGGACAUUUAAAGCGCUUUGUGUGCUAUGGUAGAAUAGGAAAUAUCCUCACAUAAAAUCUAGACAGAAGGAAUCUGAGAAACUUCUUUGUGAUGUGUGCAUUUAUCUCACCAUGUUAAACCUUUCUUUGGAUUGAGCAGUUUUGAAACUCUCAUUUGUAGAAGCUGCAAGUAGACCUUUGGAGCGGUUUGAGGCCUAUCCUGGAAAAGAGAAUAUCUUAACAUAAUAACUAGACAGAAGAAUUCUGAGAAACUUCUUUGUGAUUUAUGCGGUCAUCUCACAGAGUCGAAACUUUCUUUUAUUUAGCAUUUUGGAAACAAUCUUUUUGAUGAUUCUGCUAGCGGACCUUUGGAGCGCUUUGCAGCCUAUGGCAGUAAAGAAAAUAUCUUCACAUAAAAUCUAGACAGAAGGAAUUUGAGAAACUUUUUGUGAUGUGUCUAUUCAUCUCACAGAGUUAAACCUUUCUUCUGAUUGUGCAGUUUUGAAACUCUGUUUUUGUAGAAAACGCAAGUUGACAUUUUUAGCACUUUGAGGCCUAUGGUGUAAAAGGAAAUAUCUUCACAUAAAAACUAGACAGAAGAUUUCUGAGAAACAUCAUUGUGAUGUGUGCGUUCAUCUCACAGUGUUGAACCUUUCUUUUGAUUGAACAGUUUUGAAACACUGUUUUUGUAUAAUCUGCAAUUGGACAUUUGGAGCGCUUUGCUGUCUAAGGUAGAAAAGGAAAUAUCUUCAUAUAGCAUCUAGACUGAAGCAGUCUGAAAAACUUCUUUGUGAUGUGUGCAUUCAUCUCACAGAGUUAACUUUUUCUUUUCACUGAGCAAUUCUGAAAAUCUCUUUUUGUAGAAUCUGCAAGUGGACUUUUGGGGCGCUUUGAGGCCUAUGGUGGAAAUAGAAAUAUCUUCACAUAAGAACUAGACAGAAGCAUUCCGAGAUGUUUCUUUGUGAAGUGUGAAUUCAUCUCACAGAGUUGAAUUUUACUUUCAAUUGAGCAGUUUUGAAACACUCUUUUUGCAGAAUCUGCAAGUGGACAUCUGGAGUGCUUUGAGGUCUAUGGUGGAUAACGAAAUAUCUUCACAUAAUAACUAGACAGAAGCAUUCUCAGAAACUUCUUUGUGAUGUGUGCAUUCAACUCACAGAGUUGAACCUUUCUGUUGUUGGAGUAGCUUUGAAACACUCCUUUCAUAAAAUCUGCAAGUGGACAUUGGGAGCGCUUUGAGGCCUCUGGUGGAAAAGAAAACAUCUUCACAUAAAAACUAAACAGAAGCAUUCUGUCAAAUUUCUUUGUGAUCUGUGCAUUCAUCUCACAGAGCUGAGCCUUUCUUUUCAUUGAGCAGUUUGGAAAUGCUCUUUUUGUACAAUGUGCUUGUGGACAUUUGGAGCACUUUUAGGACUAUGGUGGAAAAGGAGAUAUCUUCAGAUAAAAACUAGACCAAAGCAUUCUGACAACCUUCUUUGUGAUAUGUGUAUUCAUCUCACACAGUUGAAACUUACUUUUGAUUGGGCAGUUUUGAAACAUCCUUUUUGUGGAAUCUGCAGGAGGAUAUUUGGAGGGCUUUGAUGCCUAUUGUGGGGCCUAUUGUGGAAUAGGAAAUAUCUUCACAUUAAAACUAGAUAGAAACAUUCUGAGAAUCUUCUUUGUUAUGUGUGCAUUAAUCUCAGAGAGUUGAACCUUUCUUUGAUUGAGCAGUUUUGGAACACUCUUUUUGUACAAUCUGCAAGUGGAUGUUUGGAGCGCUUUCAGGACUAUUGUGGAAAAGGAAAUAUCUUCAAAUAAAAACUAAACAGAAGCAUUCUGAGAAACUUGCUUGAGAUGUGUUCAUUCAUCUCACAGAGGUGAACAUUUCUUUUGAUUGAGCUGUUGGAAACACUCUUUUUGUAGAAUCUGCAAGUGGACAUUUGGAGUGCUUUGUAGCCUAUGGUAGAAAAGGUAACAUCUUCACAUAAAAUAUAGACAGAAGCAAUCUGAGAAAUUUUUUGCGAUGUGUGCACUCAGCUCAGAGAGAUAAACCUUUCUUUUGAUUAAGCAGUUUUGAAACUGUCUUUUUGUAGAAUCUGCAAGUGCACAUUUGGAGCGCUUUCAGGCCUAUUUUGGAAAAGGAAAUAUCUUCGCAUAAAAACUAGACAGAAGAAUUCUAAGAAACUUCUUUGUGAUGUGUGCGUUCAUCUCAGAGAGUUGAACCUUUCUUUUGAUUGAGCAGUUUGGAAACACUCUUUUUGUACAACCUGCAAGUGGACAUUUGGAGGGCUUUGCAGCCUAUGGUAGGAAAGGAAAUAUCUUCACAUAAAAUCUAGACAGAAGCAAUCUGAGAAACUUCUUUGUGGUGUGUGCAUAUAUCUCAGAGUUAAACCAUUCUUUUUAUUGAGCAGUUUUGAAACUCUCUUUUUGUAGAAUCUGCAAGUGGACAUUUGGAGCGAUUUGAGGCCUAUGGUGGAAAAGGUAAUAUCUUCACAUAAAAACUACACAGAAGAAUUCUGAGAAACUUCUUUGUGAUGUGUGUGUUCCUCCCACAGAGUUGAACCUUUCUUUUGAUUGAGCAACUUGGAAAUACUCUUUUUGUAGAAUCUGCAAGUGGACAUUUAGAGCAUUUUGCGGCCUAUGGUGGAAGAAUAAGUAUCUUCACAUAAGAACUAGACAGAAGAAUUUUGAGAAACGUCUUUCUCAUGUGCUCAUUCAUCUCACAGAGUUGAACCUUUCUUCUUAUUGAGCAGUUUGGAAACACUCUUUUUGUAGAAUCUGCAAGUGGACAUUUGGAGCGAUUUGCUGCCUAUGGUAGAAAAGGAAAUAUCUUCAUAUAAAAUCUCGAUAGAACUAAUCUGAGAAACUUCUUUACGAUGUGGGCAUUCAUCUCACAGAGUAAAACCUUUCUUUUGAUUUAGGAGUUUUGAAACUCUCUUUUUGUAGCAUCUGCAAGUGGACAUUUGGAGCGCUUUGAGACCUGUGAUGGAAAAGGAAAUAUCUUCACAUAAAAACUACACUGAAGAAUUCUGUGAAACUUCUUUGUGAUGUGAGCGUUCGUCUCUCAGAGUUGAAACUUUCUUUUCAUUGAGAAGUUUGGAAACACUCUUUUUGGAGUAUCUGAAAGUGGACAUUUUGUGUGCUUUGCGGCCUAUGGUAGAAAAGUAAAUAUCUUCAUAUAAAAUCUAGACAGAAGCAAUCUGAGAAACAUUUCUGUUAUGUGUGCAUUCAUCUCACAGAGUUAAACCUUUUUUUGAUUGAGCAGUUUUGAAACUCUCUUUUUCAAGAAUCUGCAAGUGGACAUUUGGAGUGCAUAGAGGCCUAUGGUGGAAAAGGAAAUAACUUCACAUAAAAACUAGACAGAAGAAUGCUCAGAAACUUUGUGAUGUGUGUGUUCAUCUCACAGAGUUGAAUCAUUCUUUUAAUUGAGCAGUUUGGAAACACUCGUUUUGUAGAAUCUGCAAGUGGACAUUUGGAACGCUUUGCAGCCUAUGGUAGAAAAAGAAAUAUCUUCACAUAAAAUCUAGAAAGAAGCAAUCUGAGAAACUACUUUUGUGAUGUGCGCAUUCAUCUCACAGAGUUAAACCUCUCUUCUGAUUCAACAGUUUUGAAACUCUCUUUUUCUAGAAUCUGAAAGUGGACAUUUGGGGCACUUUGAGACCUGUAGUGGAAGAGGAAAUAUCUUCACAUAAAAACUAGACAGAAGAAUUCUGAGAAACCUCUUUGUGAUGUGUGCAUUCAUCUCACAGAGUUGAACCUUUCUUUUGAUUGAGCAGUUGGAAGCACUCUUUUUGUGGAGUCUGCAGGUGGAUAUUUGGAGGGCUUCGAGGCCUGUUGUGGGGCCUAUUGGGGAAUAGAAAAUAUCUUCACAUUAAAGCUAGACAGAAGAAUUCUGAGAAAUUUCUUUGUGAUGUGUGCAUUAAUCUCACAGAGUUGAACCUUUCUUUUGAUGAGCAGUUUUGAAACACUCUUUUUGUAGAAUCUGCAAUUGGAUGUUUGGAGCGCUUUCAGGAUUAUUGUGGAAAAGGAAAUAUGUUCAAAUAAAAACUAGACAGAAGCAUUCUGAGAAAUUGUUUGUGAUGUGUUCAUUCAUCUCACAGAGUUGAACUUUUCUUUUGAUUGAGCUGUUGGAAACACUCUUUUUCAAGAAUCUGCAAGUGGACAUUUGGAGCGCUUUGUGGCUUAUGGUAGAAAAGGAAACAUCUUCACAUAAAAUCUAGACAGAAGCAAUCUGAUAAAUUUUUUGUUAUAUGUGCAUUCAUCUCAAAGAGGAAACCUUUCUUUUCAUUGAUCAGUUUUGAAACUCUCUUUUUAUAGAAUCUACAAAUGCACAUUUUUAGUGCUUUGAGGCCUACGGUGGAAAAGGAAAUAUUUUCACAUAAAAACUAGACAGAAGAACUCUGAGAAACUUCUUUGGAAUGUGCAGGUUCAUCUCACAGAGUUGAAUCUUUCUUUUGAUUGAGCAGUUUGGAAACACUCUUAGUAGAAUCUGCAGUUGGACAUUUGGAGCACUUUGCGGUCAAUGGUAGAAAAGGAAAUAACUUCACAUAAAAGCUCAAGAGAAGCAACCUGAGAACUUCUUUGUGAUAUGUGCAUUCGUCUCACAGAGUGAAAUCUUUCUUUUGAGUAGUUUUGAAAUUCUCUUUGUAGAAUCUGCAAGUGGACAUUUGGAGCACUUUGAGGCCAAUGGUGGGAAAGGUAAUUUCUUCCCAUAAAAACUAGACAGAAGAAUUCUGUGAAACUUUUUGUGAUGUGUGCAUUCAUCUCACAGAAUUGAACCUUUCUUUUGAUUUAGCAGUUUGGAAACACUCUUUUUGUAAAAUCUGCAAGUGGACAUUUGGAGCAUUUUGGGGCCUAUGGUAGAAAAGGAAAUAGCUCUACAUAAAAAAUAGACAGAAGCAAUCUGAGAAACUUCUUUGUGAUGUAUGCAUUCAUCUCACAGAGUUAAAAGUUUCUUUUGAUUGGCAGUUUUGAAACGCUUCCUUUGUAGAUUCUGCAAGUUUACAUUUGGAGCGCUUUGAGGCCUAUGGUGGAAAAGGAAAUAUCUUCACAUAGAAACUAGAAAGAAGAAUUCUGAGAAACUUCUUUGUGAUGUGUGCAUUCAUCUCACAGAGUUGAACCUUUCUUUUGAUUGAGCAGUUUGGAAACACUCUUUUUGUAGAAUCUGCAAGUGGACAUUUGGAGCGCUUUGCGGCCUAAGGUAGAAAAGGAAAUAUCUUCACAUAAAAUCUAGACAAAAGCAAUCUGAGAAACUUCUAUCUUAUAUGUGCAUUCAUCUCACAGCGUUAAAUCUUUCUUUUGAUUGAGCAGUUUUGAAACUCUUUUUUUGUAGGAUCUGGAAGUGGACAUUUGGAGCAGUUUGAGGCCUGUGGUGGAAAAGGCAAUAUCUUCACAUAAAAACUAGACAGAAGAAUUCUGAACAACAUCUUUGUGAUGUGUGCAUUCAUCUCAUAGUUGAAACUUUCUUUGAGCAGUUUGGAAAUACUCCUUUUGUAGAAUCUGUCAGUGGACAUUUGGAGCGCUUUGAAGCCUAUGGUAGAGAACAAAAUAUCUUCACAUAAUAUCUAGACAGAAGCAAUCUCAGAAACUUCUUUAUGAUAUGUGCAUUCACCUCACUGUAUUAAACCUUUCUUUUGAUAGAGGAGUUUUGAAACUCUCUUGUUGUAGAAUCUGCAAGUGGACAUUUGGAUCAAUUUGUGGCCUAUGGUGAAAAAGUUAAUAUCUUCACAUGAAAACUAGACAGAAGAAUUCUGACAAACUUCUUUGUGAUGUGUGCAUUCAUCUCACACAGUUGAACCUUUCUUUUGAUUAAGCAGUUUGGAAACACUCUUUUUGUAGAAUCUGCAAGAGGACAUUUGGAGUACUGUACAUUCAUCUCACAGAGGUAAAACUUUCUUUGGAUUGAACAGUUUUGAAACACUCCUUUUGGAGUAUCCGCAAGUGGACAUUUGGAGCGUUCUGAGGUCUAUGUUGGACAACGAAAUAUCUUCACUUAAAAACUAGACAGAAGAUUUCUGAGAAACUUCUUUGUGAUGCAUGUGCUCAUCUCACAGAGUUGAAUCUUUCUUUGGAUUGAGCAGUUUGGAAACACACUUUUUGUACAAUCUACAAGUGGAAAUUGGAGCUCUUUGUGGCCUACAGUAGAAAAGGAAAUAUCUUCAAAUAAUAUCUAGACAGAAGCAGUCUGAGAAAUUUCUUUGUGAUGUGUGCAUUCAUCUCACAGAGUUAAACGUUUCUUUUGAUAGAGCAGUGUUGAAGCUCUCUUUUUGUAUAAUCUACAAGUGGACAUUUGUAGCGCUUUGAGACCUAUGGUAAAAAAGGAAAUAUCUUCAUAUAAAAACUAGACAGAAGAAUUCUGAGAAACGUCCUUGUGAUGUGUGCAUUCAUCUCACAGAGUUGAACCUUUCUUUCGAUUCAGCAGUCUGGAAACACUCUUUUUGUAGAAUAUGCAAGUGGAGAUUUGCAGCGCUUUGCAACCAAUGGAAGAAAAGCAAAUAUCUUCACAUAAAAUCUAGACAGAAGCAAUCUGAGAAACUUCUUUGUGAUGUGUGCAUUCAUCUCACAGUGUUAACUCUUUCUCUUGAUUGAGCAGUUUUGAGACUCUCUUUUUGUAGAGUCUACAAGUGGACAUUUGUAGUGCUUUGAGGCCUAUGGUGGAAAUGGAAUUAUCUUCAAAUAAAAACUAGAUGGAAGCAUUCUGAGAAACUUCUUUGUGAUGUGUGCAUUCAUCUCCCAGAGUUGAAUAUUUCUUUUGAUGGAGCAGCCUUGAAAUACUCCUUUUGUAGUAUCUGCAAGUGGACAUUUUGAGUACUUUGAGGCCUAUGGUGGAAAAUGAAAUAUCUUCACAUAAAAAUUAGACAGAAGAAUUCUGAGAAACUUCUUUGUGAUGGGUGCCUUCUUUGCACAGAGUUGAACGUCUCUUUUGAUUGACCGGGAUGGAAACACUGUUUUUGCAGAAUCUGCAAGUGGAAAUUUGGUGUGCUUUGCUUCCUAUGGUAGAAAAGGAAAUAUCUUCACAUAAAAACUAGACAGAAGAAUUCUGAGAAACUUCUUUGUCAUGUGUGCAUUUGUCUCUCAGAGUUUAACGUUUCUGUUCAUUGAGCAGUUUUGAAACUCUCUUUUUGUAGGAUCUGCAAGUGGACAUUUGGGGCGCUUUGACACCUAUGGUGGAAAAGGAAAUAUCUUCCCAUAAAAAACAGACAGAAGAAUUCUGAGAAAUUACUUUGUGAUGUGUGCACUCAACUGACAGAGUUAAACCUUUCUUUUGAUUGAGCAGUUUGGAAACACUCUUUUUUGUAGAAUCUGCAAGUGGACAUUUGGAGUGCUUAGUGGCCUAUGUUAGAAAAGGAAAUAUCUUCACAUAAAAUCUAGACAGAAGCAAUCUGAGAAACUUCUUUGUGAUGCGUGCAUUCAUCUCACAGAGUUCAACAUUUCUUUUGAUUGAGCAGUUUGGAAACACUCUUUUUGUAGAAUCUGCAAGUAGACAUUUGGAGAACUUUGCAGCCUCUGGUAGAAAAGGAAAUAUCUUCACAUAAAAUCUGGACAGAAGCAAUCUGAGAAGCUUCUUUGUGAUGUGUGCAUUCAUCUCAUAGAGUUAAAACUUUAUCUUGAUUGAGCAAUUUUGAAACUCUCUUUUUGUAGAAUCUGCUAGUGGACAUUUGGAGUGCUUUGAGUCUUAUGAUUAAAAAGGAAAUAUCAUCACACAAAAACUAGACUGAAGAAUUUGGAGAAACUUCUUUGUAAUGUGUGCAUUCAUCGCUCAGAGUUGAACCUUUCUUUUGAUUGAGCAGUUUGGAAACACUUUUUUUUUUAAUCUGCAAGUGGACAUUUAGAGCGCUUUGCAGCCUAUGGUAGAAAAGGAAAUAUCUUCACAUAACAUCUAGACAGAAGCAAUCUGAGAAACUUCUUUGUGAUGUGUGCAUUCUUCCCAUAGAGUUAAACCUUCAUUUUGAUUGAGGAGUUUUGAAACUCUCUUUUUGUAGAAUCUGCAAGUAGACAUUUGGAGCGCUUUGACGCCUACGGUGGAAAGGAAAUAUCUUCACAUAAAAACUAGACAGAAGAAUUCUGACAAACUUCUUUGUGAUGUGUGCUGUCAUCUCACAGAUUUGAAAAUUUCUUUUGAUUCAUCAGUUUGGAAACACUCUUUUUGUUGAAUCUACAAAUGGACAUCUGGAGCACUUUUUGUCCUAUGGAAGAAAAUGAAGUAUCUUCACAUAAAAUCUAGACAGAAACAAUCUGAGAAACUUCUCUGUGAUGUGUGCAUUCACCUCACAGAGAUAAACAUUUCUUUUUAUUGAGGAGUUUUGAAACUCUCUUUUUGUAGAAUCUGCAAGUGGACAUUUUUAAUGCUUUGAUGCCUAAGGUGGAAAAGGAAAUAUCUUCAUAUAAAAAGUAGACAGAAGAAUUCUGAGAAACUUCUUUGUGAUAUGUGCUUUCAUCUCACAGAGUUCAACUUUUCUUUUCAUUGAGCAGUUUGGAAACACUCUUUUUGUGGAAACUGCAAGUGGACAUUUUGUGUGCUUUGAGGCCUACAGUAGAAAAGGAAAUACCUUCACAUACAAUCUAGACAGAAGCAAUCUGAGAAACUUCUUUGUGAUGUGUGUAUUCAUCUCACACAGUUAAGCCUUUCUUCUGAUAGAGAAGUUUUGAAACUCUCUUUUUGUAGAAUCUGCAAGUGGACAUUUUUAGCGCUUUGACGUCUAUGGUCGAAAAGGAAAUAUCGUCACAUAAAAAGUAGACAAAAGAAUUCUGAGAAAUUUCUUUGUGAUGUGUGCAGUCAUCUCACAGAGUUAAACCUUUCUUCUGAUUGAGCAGUUUUGAAACUCUUUUUGUAGAAUCUGCAAGCGGACAUUUUUAGCACUUUGAGGCCUAUGGUGGAAAGGAAAUAACUUCACAUAAAAACUAGACGGAAGCAUUCUGAGAAACGUCUUUGGAUGUGUGCCUUCAUCUCCCAGAGUUAAACGUUUCUUUUGAUUGAGCAGUUUUGAACCUCUCUUUUUCUAGAAACUGCAAAUGGACAUUUGGAGUGCUUAGAGGUCUAAUGUGGAAAAGGAAAUAUCUUCACAUAAAAACUAGACAGAAGAAUUCUGAGAAACUUCUUUGUGAUGUAUGUGUUCAUCUCACAGAUUUGAAACUUUCUUUUGAUUGAGCAGUUUGGAGACACUCUUUUUGUAGAAUCUGCAAGUGGACAUUUCGAGUGCUUUGUGGCCUGUGGUAGAAAACGAAAUAUCUUCACAUAAAAUCUAGACAGAAGCAAUCUGAGAAACUUCUUUGUGAUGUGUGCAUUCAUCUCCCAGAGUUGAACCUUUCUUUUGUUGGACCAGCUUUAAAAUACUCUUUUUGUAGAAUCUGCAAGUGGACAUUUCGAGCGUCUUGAGUCUAUGGUGGAAAAUGAAAUAUCUUCACAUAAAAACUAGACAGAAGCAUUCUGAGAAACUUGUUUGUGAUGUGUUUGUUCAUCUCACAGAUUUGAACCUUUCCUUUGAUUGAGCAGUUUAGAAACACUCUAUUUGUAGAAUCUGCAAGUGGAUAUUUGGAGCACGUUGUGGCCUACGGUAGAAAGGGAAAUAUCUUCACAUAAAAUCUACACAGAAGCAAUCUGAGAAACUUCUUUGGGAUGUGUGCAUUCAUCUCACAGAGUUAAACCUUCCUUUUGAUUGAGGAGUUUUGAAACUCUCCUUUUUUAGAAUCUGCAAGUGGACAUUUGGAGCACUUUGAGGCCUAAGGUGGAAAGGAAAUAUCUGCACAUAAAAACUAGACAGAAGAAUUUUGACAAAAUUCUUUGUGAUGUGUGCUUUCAUCUCACAGAUUUGAAAAUUUCUUUUGAUUCAACAGUUUGGAAACACUCUUUUUGUAGAAUCUGCAAGUUGACAUUUGGAGCACUUUGCAGCCUAUGGAAGAAAAGUAAAUAUCUUCACAUAAAAUCUAGACAGAAACAAUCUGAGAAACUUCUCUGUGACGUGUGCAUUCAUCUCACAGAGUUAAACAUUUCUUU
rnacentral:lncRNA from 1 species